rnacentral:rRNA from 1 species
CCUACGGGAGGCAGCAGUGAGGAAUAUUGGUCAAUGGGCGCUAGCCUGAACCAGCCAAGUAGCGUGAAGGAUGACUGCCCUACGGGUUGUAAACUUCUUUUAUAAAGGAAUAAAGUGCGGCACGUAUGCCUCUUUGCAUGUACUUUAUGAAUAAGGAUCGGCUAACUCCGUGCCAGCAGCCGCGGUAAUACGGAGGAUCCGAGCGUUAUCCGGAUUUAUUGGGUUUAAAGGGAGCGUAGGCGGGUUGUUAAGUCAGUUGUGAAAGUUUGCGGCUCAACCGUAAAAUUGCAGUUGAUACUGGCAGUCUUGAGUACAGUAGAGGUAGGCGGAAUUCGUGGUGUAGCGGUGAAAUGCUUAGAUAUCACGAAGAACUCCGAUUGCGAAGGCAGCUUACUAAACUGUAACUGACACUGAUGCUCGAAAGUGUGGGUAUCAAACAGGAUUAGAUACCCUUGUAGUC